CUGCCCAUACAACACAAUUAAGCUGUUGGUCUUCUCAGUACGAUAGCCUGUUACACUUUUCAUAUAUGUCAUACUACUCAGAUUUCAACAACAGUCCAUAAGGAUUUAUGCAUACUUAUCUAUAUUUCUAUCAUUGCAUAUUACUUAUAUUAGGUUGUUCAAUGUCACUGUUUAGUAUACUCAAAAGAUAGGACCUUUAGCUUUAAUUAUCUCGCAUCAUCAUGUUCUUC
rnacentral:lncRNA from 1 species